GUGGGGAAUCUUCCGCAAUGGACGAAAGUCUGACGGAGCAACGCCGCGUGAGUGAUGAAGGUCUUCGGAUUGUAAAGCUCUGUUAAUCGGGACGAAAGAGCCUAGUGUGAAUAAUGCUAGGAAGUGACGGUACCGGAAUAGAAAGCCACGGCUAACUACGUGCCAGCAGCCGCGGUAAUACGUAGGUGGCAAGCGUUGUCCGGAAUUAUUGGGCGUAAAGCGCGCGCAGGCGGAUCUGCCAGUCUGUCUUAAAAGUUCGGGGCUUAACCCCGUGAUGGGAUGGAAACUACAGAUCUAGAGUAUCGGAGAGGAAAGUGGAAUUCCAAGUGUAGCGGUGAAAUGCGUAGAGAUUUGGAAGAACACCAGUGGCGAAGGCGACUUUCUGGACGAUGUCUGACGCUGAGGCGCGAAAGCUAGGGGAGCGAACGGGAUUAGAAACCCGUGUAGUCC
rnacentral:rRNA from 1 species